rnacentral:lncRNA from 1 species
GGGACCAGUUACCCCUUUCUUCUUGCUUAUUUCUCCCUUUUGGAAUGGGAAUGUCUAUCCUAUGCCUGUCCCACCAUUGUAUUUUGGAAGAAAGUAAUUUGCUAUUUUCAUAGGCUAACAUCUGGAGAGAAAUUUGCCUCAGGAUGAAUUGCACCUGGAGUCUCUCCUGUCUGAUUCAAAUGGGACUCUGGACUUUGGAAUUUUGAGUUGGUGCUGGAACGAGUCAAGACUUUGGGGCUAUUGGGAUGGAAUUAAUCUAUUUUAGACAUGAGAAGGACAUGGAUUUUGGGAGUCAAGGAAGAAUGCUACGGCUUGAAUGUGUCCUCCGAAGUUCAUGUGUUGGAAACCUAAUCCCCAAUGCAGCAGUACUGAGAAGUGAGACCUUUAAGAAGUGAUGAGAACCAUCAGGCAGCCUAGGGCCUGGAAGUGCUCCCCACCACCACUUCACUGUCCUUUAGCCCUACAGUGACUUCCUCCCCCUAGCUGGGAAUCGGCAACAUCUUCAGUGGGAUGUCUUGGAAUCCACGAUGGGGCUCAAGCUGUCUCACCCAGGAAAUGCAGGCUCUGCUACCAGACUGUGGACCUGGAACCCACUUGCAUCUGAAUCCCCUGGAGAACUUGUAAAGUGUAGAUACCCAAGCCUACCUCCCAGAAAUACUAAUCUAGGAGGUUUUCAGAUGGGGCUUCAAAACCUGCCUUUUGACAAGGCCCUCCGGUGGUCAUUUUUAUGCCCACAUGCUUUGGGGAGGGAGAAAAAUCCAUGGAAAAUUAGAAAAUGUUUUGGAGGCCGGGUGUAGUGGAUCAUACCUGUAAUCCCAGCACUUUCGGAGGCCAAGGCAGGAGGAUUGCUUGAGUUCAGGAGUUUGAGACCACCCGGGACAACAUAUUGAGACCCCGUCUUUAUAAAAAAUUUAAACCUUAUCUGGACAUGGUGGUGUGCGCCUGUAGUCCCAGUUACUUGGGAGGCUGAGGUGGGAGGAUCACUUGAGCCCAGGAUGCUGCAGUGAGCUGUGUUCUCACCACUGCACUCCAGCCUGGGCAACAGAGCAAGACUCUGUCUCGAAAAACAAACAAAAAAAGGCAAAACGGGCUGGGCACGGGCUCACGCCUGUAAUGCCAGAACUUUGUGAGGCCAAGGCAGGCAGAUUGCUUGAGCUCAGGAGUUUGAGAAAAGCCUGGCCAACAUGACAAAACCCUGUCUCUACUAAAAAUACAAAAAUUGGCAGAACGUGGUGGUGCGCACCUGUGGUCCCAGCUACUCCAGAGACUGAGGUAGGAGGAUUGCU